AUCUCCCCUCUGCUUGACGCGCUCUCUCUCGCGGACGACUCGAAGACGACGGAACGGAGCUUCGACCUUCGGUGAUCGACAGUGUCACUUGAGGAGGAAGUCUUCGGAUCUCGACGAUACCGGCGGAGUCCAAGCCAUCUUCAGUAAUCGAUACCUAGGGCACGACUGAUCGCCUGCUUCUCGCCGGACCUUUUAUUCUUUCCUCGGCACCGCCGGUGUAGAUUUAUUCCCGGAGCCUCAAGGAUGAGCUAUCUUGUUCUUCUUUGAUUUCCCGCAAACCUCAGCGCCAAACCUUUCCUCGAUUCCUCCUCUUCCUCUUGUGGCGCUGUGCCCUAGCCGGAUCUUGGAGGUAAGGCAUCGUACUCUGUGGGUUGUUGAGAUGUUGUGUGACCGAUUCUUCUUUUCCCUUGCUCGCCAGAGACGUUCGAUUGUUGAGGUAAUCUGGUGGGGGAGUCUUCUUCCGGCAGCAACCAUCUAUGGUUGAGGAUCAGUAGAAAGUGAACUGUUGAUUGCCUCUAAACCUUACGUGAGAAAGAUUCCAGCAGGGAAGUUUAGUUCUGUGGUGUUCUUUGGUCCCAUCAACUACUCUUUCAUGGCAGUAACGAUUCUGGAUUGGGGAUCAACAGAAGGGGAUGAGCUUGAGUUAAGAUUGGGAGGCCAGGGUAUAGGGUCUCAAAGCAAUUUGAUCCAGAGACAAAACAACGGUCUCUUCUGUUUCAGCCAACCCUUUGUUUCAAAGUAUUUUGAUGUUAUUGAUCCUUCAAGGACGAACAACAAUCUUUGACAAAGUUUCAGAACAAGUAAGCGAUUGGUGGUUUGGAUGUCAAUGAGUGGAACGGUAGAAGGGUCGUCUCUGAACCCAAAUGCCCUACACUCUGUUCUGCAGCAGUUGCGGGAGUCAGUGCAGGCAUUGUUGGAACACUUCCAUCAAUGGAGGCAACAAGAGAUGGCUGGCAAAGACUUGUUUGAGACUGCCUCUGUGGAGGCUUUAGUCAUGAACCUGAGCACCAAAUCUCCGAAAAAAGGCGUGAUGCCGGGUAAAUAUCGUGAAAAACCUGUCCAAUGCGUAAGGCCAAAGUGUACUCCUCGCCGCAUCAUUCUUCGAGGCCGACUAGCUAUUUUGUGUUUUUUUUGUU